AAUGGCUAAAAAAUUAUCGAAGGAGGUGGAGCCUACCCAGCUCCGUUCCACCCUGAACGUUGACCCUAAUAAUUUGCUGUUUCGAAGUAUUAAAAAUCAACGUUUCGUCUUGUGCGGUCCUAUUUCAUCCUUUGCAAAGAUAGCUGCAACGUUGACCUUACUCUGGAAAAUAUAUCUGCAAAUGCCAAAUAACACGCGAAUUUGGGGGUUUAUUGCUUAAAGCUAUUCUUAAACUACAGAACUAUCUAAAUUAAAUACAUUCAAGAAUGUGCAGUUAUCUUCUUUGUGUAAAUAUCCUUAUAUUCAAAUUGCUCUUUCAAGUACAAAUGUGAAAAAUGUC